rnacentral:rRNA from 1 species
AUUGAACGCUGGCGGCAGGCCUAACACAUGCAAGUCGAGCGGUAGCACAGAAGAGCUUGCUCUUUGGGUGACGAGCGGCGGACGGGUGAGUAAUGUCUGGGAAACUGCCUGAUGGAGGGGGAUAACUACUGGAAACGGUAGCUAAUACCGCAUAACCUCGCAAGAGCAAAGAGGGGGACCUUCGGGCCUCUCGCCAUCAGAUGUGCCCAGAUGGGAUUAGCUAGUAGGUGAGGUAAUGGCUCACCUAGGCGACGAUCCCUAGCUGGUCUGAGAGGAUGACCAGCCACACUGGAACUGAGACACGAUCCAGACUCCUACGGGAGGCAGCAGUGGGGAAUAUUGCACAAUGGGCGCAAGCCUGAUGCAGCCAUGCCGCGUGUGUGAAGAAGGCCUUCGGGUUGUAAAGCACUUUCAGCGGGGAGGAAGGCGGUAAGGUUAAUAACCUUAUCGAUUGACGUUACCCGCAGAAGAAGCACCGGCUAACUCCGUGCCAGCCGCCGCAGUAA